UAUUGCAUAGAAUAAGUUGCAUGCACCAAAAAUAAAAGGAAAAGCUACCACCAAAGAAGCAUACUGAUAUCCACCCCUGCAAAACUCCAUGCAUUUUUGGAUCUUGAAUUUGAACAAAGAGAACAUAAGAGGAGAUUUUAUGAUCACUAGGUUACUAAAAUCUCUAAAAUGUCUAGUUUCUAAAUACCGAAGGGCGGUCCGAGUAUAACACAACUUAACAGACUUAUCCUCCGGGCUCGGAGGUUCGAAUAUUACUUGAGGCUAUUGAAAGUAACCUCGUCAUUGAUUUUAAGACCGUAACGUUUGUUGAAACAUGCAAAAGAUGACACAGACAUCCCGUUACAGGAAAAAAAAUGUCGCUGUUCCGUAACAGCAGUGACUAUAUAUAUAUAUCAGUAUGAAUACUGGAACUUAACGGUUACUAGUCACUUUCUGAUGUGUCUAAAUACAACAAGUGGCACUGACAUGGUAUUUUUUGGCCAUUAUCUGCACACUUGGAGUGGUUGAGUUCAGCUGUCAAAUUAAUGAAUCCCCCUUGAGGAAAUUUCUCAAACAUUUUUGACAGGUGGGAAUUCGGUUGGAGAUUCACGGCACAAGAAUGGGAAAGCAGAAUUUGAAAUUGAAGGCCAUGAAUGGAUAAGAUAAUCCGAGGAUAAGAUAACAGCUGUGGGCAAACAAAUAGCAGUAGUGUUUCUGGUUUCCGGGCUAGCUUACGCGUCUCUUCAAUAGAUGGUUUGUACUAUCAAAACGAGGCUCGAUCCAGCAAACCGUGCAUGUUUAUUUUUUCGUAUUCAUAAGAAAUCUCAAUAGACAAAGCAAACUUUUUCCAGAUUUUAUCACCUGAAUCGCCUUAGUUUCCGACGUCCUCUGCCUCGUUCUUCUCUUCUCUAUACCAAACAAUCCAGCGACUUCUAUAGCUUCUCCAAUGUAGUAAUGUACCACAGUGUUAUGUAUUUUUUAUAACUCAGGUGUCCGGGAACAACCGUGUUAUGUUGGUAGGAGCUGUAGGCAUCACAAAUUUGCAGACUCUGCGCUAUACGGAAAAAAAAAAAAACGAAAGAAAGAAAG